CACGUAGGGCGCGAGCGUUGUCCGGAAUUAUUGGGCGUAAAGAGCUCGUAGGUGGUUUGCUGCGUCCGCUGUGAAAACCCAAGGCUUAACCUUGGGCUUGCAGUGGAUACGGGCAGACUAGAGGUAGGUAGGGGAGAAUGGAAUUCCCGGUGUAGCGGUGAAAUGCGCAGAUAUCGGGAGGAACACCGGUGGCGAAGGCGGUUCUCUGGGCCUUACCUGACACUGAGGAGCGAAAGCGUGGGGAGCGAACAGG
rnacentral:rRNA from 1 species